rnacentral:rRNA from 1 species
GACGAACGCUGGCGGCGUGCUUAACACAUGCAAGUCGAACGGAAAGGCCCCGUUUGGGGUACUCGCGUGGGGAACGGGUGAGUAACACGUGAGUAACCUGCCCUUCACUUCGGGAGAAAUUCAUGAAACUGGGGCUAAUACCGGAUAGGAAUCCUUGCUGCAUGGUGGGGGUUGGAAAGCUUCUGCGGUUUGGGAUGGACUCGCGGCUUAUCAGCUUGUUGGUGGGGUAGUGGGUUACCAAGGGUUUGACGGGUGGCCGGCCUGAGGGGGGGAACGGCCACAUUGGGACUGGGGAUAGGGCCAGAACCCCACGGGGGGGCAGAGGGGGGGAAUAUGGACAAUGGGGCGAAGCCUGAUGCAGGAAACGCGCGUGCGGGGUGACGGCCUUUCGGUUGUAAACCGCCUUCAGCAGGGGAGAAGCCUGUAGUGACGGUACCUGCAGAAGAAGCACCGGCUAACUACGUG